rnacentral:rRNA from 1 species
GACGAACGCUGGCGGCGUGCUUAACACAUGCAAGUCGAACGGAGAGGCCCGCAUCAUUUUUUUGGUGGGGGUGCUCGAGUGGCGAACGGGUGAGUAACACGUGGGUGAUCUGCCCUGUACUUCGGGAUAAGCUUGGGAAACUGGGUCUAAUACCGGAUAGGACCAUGGUUUAGUGUCUCAUGGUGGAAAGAUUAUUGUUUUGGUGCAGGAUGAGCUCGCGGCCUAUCAGCUUGUUGGUGGGGUAAUGGCCUACCAAGGCGUCGACGGGUAGCCGGCCUGAGAGGGUGGACGGCCACAUUGGGACUGAGAUACGGCCCAGACUCCUACGGGAGGCAGCAGUGGGGAAUAUUGCACAAUGGGCGCAAGCCUGAUGCAGCGACGCCGCGUGGGGGAUGACGGCCUUCGGGUUGUAAACUCCUUUCGUUAGGGACGAAGCCGCACCUUUUUUUGGGUGUGGUGACGGUACCUUUGUUAAGAAGCA